rnacentral:rRNA from 1 species
GUGCCAGCAGCCGCGGUAAUACGAAGGGUGCAAGCGUUAAUCGGAAUUACUGGGCGUAAAGCGCGCGUAGGUGGUUCAGCAAGUUGGAUGUGAAAUCCCCGGGCUCAACCUGGGAACUGCAUCCAAAACUACUGAGCUAGAGUACGGUAGAGGGUGGUGGAAUUUCCUGUGUAGCGGUUGAAUGCGUAGAUAUAAGAAGGAACACCAGUGGCCGAAGGCGACCACCUUGACUGAAUACUGAACCUGAGGUGCGAAGCUGGGAAGCAAACAGAUUAAGAUACCCUGUAGUCC